rnacentral:rRNA from 1 species
UAGGUAGGGUGCGAGCGUUGUCCGGAAUUACUGGGCGUAAAGAGCUCGUAGGUGGUUUGUCGCGUUGUUCGUGAAAACCGGGGGCUUAACCCUCGGCGUGCGGGCGAUACGGGCAGACUUGAGUACUGCAGGGGAGACUGGAAUUCCUGGUGUAGCGGUGGAAUGCGCAGAUAUCAGGAGGAACACCGGUGGCGAAGGCGGGUCUCUGGGCAGUAACUGACGCUGAGGAGCGAAAGCGUGGGGAGCGAACAGG